UGCGAUUGGGCCCGACGUCGCAUGCUCCCGGCCGCCAUGGCGGCCGCGGGAAUUCGAUUAAUGCAUAGAUAUUACACGGAAUACCGAUUGCGAAGGCAGAUCACUAACAAUUAACUGACACUGAUGGACGAAAGCGUGGGUAGCGAACAGGAUUAGAUACCCUGGUAGUCCACGCCGUAAACGAUGGUCACUAGCUGUUCGGACUUCGGUCUGAGUGGCUAAGCGAAAGUGAUAAGUGACCCACCUGGGGAGUACGUUCGCAAGAAUGAAACUCAAAGGAAUUGACGGGGGCCCGCACAAGCGGUGGAGCAUGCGGUUUAAUUCGAUGA
rnacentral:rRNA from 1 species